AAUCCAAACACUUAACUUAUUUCACUACGACAGGGGACAACAAUGAAAGGGAACUGAUCAGUGAUUUACAUGGAGUUUUGGAAAGACUACAGAACAAUCAAUUUCCAACUCUAAGAAAAAAGCAUGGCGAUCUGCCUGUGAACUGGUAGUUACCCAGGAGGAGUAAAGGGUGCUGGCUGCAGGAAGAGCGACGCCACCAGCAGGUCUGCUGUGUCCUCCGUGAUGUCUUCACUGAAGAGCUGAGCCCCCAGCCAACGCUUGGCCAAGCGACAAACUGCCCCGAAAGACGGGUGCUCCUGCUGGAGACUAACAACACCAACAUGAUAUGUAUAAGUUGGAGCAAGAAAGAUGCGUGCAGCGCAAGCUAAAUAGAACAGGAAAGAGGCAAAAAUAUAUUGACAAAGGUUGAAUGAAGUGAAAAUAUAGAACCAAUAAAAAUGUAUUAUUAUAUCAGCAACAUGGAAGGUUAAAAAUACUGUGGUAACCUGUAAGAGCACAACAACCCUGCUUUCCAAAACAAACAGACAGAUAUUACUUUGUGUUACUGUUUUAGUUUUACCCAUGCAAUGUGCUGGUGAGUAGAGGCUUGUGAAUGGUGGUCAUCUCCAGAGCCUGAGCCUCCUCACUGUCCCUUACAACCAGCAGCCCCUCUGCAUUUACACUCUCCCUCAGCACUUGAGGCUCCCGAUGGUAAGCAACCUGGAUGCGGAACACCAAGCCAUCCUGGAUGCAUAAAAAUAAUGGGAUUAGCUAGCAUAAAUAAAUGAAUGCGUAAAAAUACACUAUGACAGCAACUUUCCUAGACUAAAAAAAACACAGUCAAGUUUACAAACAAGUUUGCAACCUGUACACAAACUCAAAAAUAUACCUUCCAGACAUCUAGGUGUGUAGGGCAGGGCUUGCAUGUAUAAUUAUGGUGCUUCUUGAGUAACUCUCCCAUGCGGAUGUGGAAGGCAGUUCGGAUGUAGCGAAUGGCUAAGCGGUCAUGUGGCCACUUUCCAC